GCCAGUUCUCCUGCGUAAAAGCGGAGGGAACUUCUCUUUCAAUGACAGUAAAGUCAGGAGCCGGGACCUCUGACGCACAGAAUAGGGGUACCAUGUUAAUGUUUCAGUUGUGUGCAUGCUCUGAUCCUAGUUUGUCACUUCUGUCCCAUAAAGCAAGAGGAGCUAAGAGUAGAGUAGGGGUGAUGUAGAUCCUUUGCAUUUGAGUGUAAAAGUUAUAAAGAAUAAGGAAAAUUCCACCCAUGAAUUCACUGGAGCAUGUAGUCUGAUGAACAGCCCACGUAAACAGAAGACUUGUAUCUUGUGAUUGUCCUUAACUAAAGGUGGCUGUGACAUCACUCUUAGCUCUUCCAGAAAAGAAGAUAGCUGGGCAAGCAGCAGUGACUGACAAUCAGGGACAAGGAAAAGCAAACUCCAUGCCAUUAGACUUCCUGUCACAGGAAGUGAGUAAUGAAGACUAUGACCAGGAUCAGCAGGGCCUUACCAGGUGGAGGAAAGGAUCAGCUGGGUUUCUUCUUUCUAUAAGGCCACCACUGCACAGUAUACCCCAAUGCCAUCAAGGUAUUCUCUUGAAGCUAAUGAAAGGCUUGGUUUUGAAGAUUUGAAAACAGCUAAGAGGUUGCCAACAGGCUGACUGAAGGUGAGGAGUAAGAGAAUGAACUAAUUUUAGUAACACUAUUGCUUAAAACUGAUCUGUAUGGCAGCAUUAUUCAGAAGGCAAGAGAUCUAGUUAAGUAUCUCUGCAUGUUUUAUAUUUCCUGUACCAUUUUCUAUGCCUGUACAUAUUUAUAUGGUCAAAUUAAUUGGGUUUCAUGACAUAUUGUUUCAAAGUAAAAUGUCUCAAUCACUGUACUUAGAAUAUUCAAGUAUUGUUUUGUAUGUGAUACAGAGCUGGAG
rnacentral:lncRNA from 1 species